AUCCAGCUGACGAGUCCCAAAUAGGACGAAACCCAUGUCCUGAAU
rnacentral:hammerhead_ribozyme from 1 species